CACAGUCUUGGGAGCUGUGCUCUAGCUGUUUGCCAGGCUCAGAGGCAGCGGCUGGGACCUGUGUCACUUCUUUUUUGUGGUGGGUUGCAUCCCCUUUCGCAGGACCCACUGACGCCAAGAGGCUUGAGCGUGUCAGUAUGAGGAUCGGGAGACUUGCUUCCAGUAGGAUUUCUGGUUUGCUGCGUAGUGUGGACAGGUGGAAGGGUCUCCAGAGAACUCACACCAGAACUUGCUGUCGCUGUUGGUGCACUCGACUCGUAUGGUAGCAGCAUCCAUGCCGGUCACUGCCCAGGCAGCAAAGCUGUUAAUCGAUCCUGCACAGAUGAAGUGAGCCAAGAUCAGGAGGAACAAGUGCAACAUGAAGAGAGACUGUUUGUCCCCUGCCCAUUCUCACAGCUGAACUGGAAACCAGCAGUGUUCUCAAAGAGACUCCAGAUAUCUCUCAUUCCUCACAAGAACAUCUGGCACGUGCCUGUAACUCAGAAAAGGUUAUAUUUUAACAAUUUUGACUGAAUGUUUGAGGCUCAGUAGAAAAUAGAAUAAAAUAUAGAAAGAAGACAGACUUCAGAUACUGCUAGAUUUGGCCUGAAAGCCACCUUAUUAAUGUCUGAUGGUCUGAACUCACUUCCACUACUGAUGGUAAAAGUGUCUUUCCUGGUGCUUUUGCAAAUUUUUUUCUUUAAGCCAGUCCUCAGAAUAGGUAGGUGUUAGGAUUCAUGCUGUUAACUGUGGUCAUGUUUUGACCACAGAUUUUAAAACAAAUGGAGCUAGCCAAUUCCUUCUGAGAACGGAAUUUUAUAGCCUUCUGAGAUACAGCUGAGCUCAGCAAAGAAACCCUAGUCCUUCCACAUUUCAGCACCAUUAAAAACCCAAAGCUGCCCCGAAGCAGGGUAAGAUGCUCACUGAAACAUUCUCCAUAGCUAUGGUCCAUUGAACAAAAGGUCUCUAUGGGUGCUCCAUCAGUAUGGUAGGGAGUGAGAUAGGGUGCAUCAGACAGGCUUCUUUCACUCCAGCAUUAGGCUAAAGGAGUAAUGGUUUUAAUUAAAUAUAAACAUAACUACACCAGAGAAACACUGCUGCAUUCAGAUGGGAGAUUUAUAUUAAACUGUGCUGGCACACAUCGGCCAGUCUGAAUUCACUGGGCACACUGUAUAUAUUAAUCUGUACUUAGCAGCAUGACUGUUUUACAGCUGGAAGAAUUAAUGAGAUGCAGACAAACAGAUAUGCAUGCAGAUAAAAUUAUAAGCAGCAAGACCUGAGAAAGAGAAGGAGCCUGUGGUGCAGAAUUUGAUUAUAUUAUCUAAUACACUUAGCCUAUUGAUUACAAAAACAGUAAAACUGUGAAAGCUUAUUCAUUUCCAGAGUGUUCCCACAGAACAGCAGCAAGGUAUCUUUGAAAGCAGUGGAAGUGUAUUAAAGAGACAAUCAGAAAUAACUUUUCCAGGGGAGAACUGCAGAGGGAUACCUGAUAGAAGACUUGCCCUUCUAUCUCAGUUUGACAAUCUCCCCAGCUUGCCAAUGCCUGACACCUAAUGCCUCAGAAGGUCCAGGUCAAAGACCAAUAUGUUGAAAUGAGGAAAUCUGUUCCCUGUCUUAACUACAGAUCAGAAUCAGAUUGUUUAUGGUUCUUCCAAAGGUUCCACUGGCAAAAACUUGAUUCUGGCCAAACACAGUGGCAAAACUGCCACUGUACAAUGAGAAGAGGCUUUAGGCACUGCUGUGAUCCUCGUUGCUUUAAGAGCCAACUCAGGUGCAAAAUUAGCAGACUGACUAUGCUGCUUUUGCUGUUGGUGGAGCUGAGGGAGGGUAUAGACGUAUUGGGCUUGCACUGUUCAUUUCCCAUCCCUCUUUGCAUCCCCUCAGAAUCUUCACAAAGCACCAGGGCUCAGCUGUGCUUUGCUGGCCUUUCCUAUCAACCUGUCCCCUUCACCAACACAGAUCGCCUUCAGCUCCCUCAUAAACUCUCAGGACUCUGGGAACGAACAGACCUGAUGCUUCACAUUGGCAUCACCCAGGGCCCUAUCUGCCACCAGACAGCAUCUAUCCUAUCCACAUAGAAGUCAAGAGCUCACUCUACCUAUGGCCAACUUUAUCCAGCAAAAACAUGCGUGUGUAUUAAUUUAUUUGUUGAAUACUGACACAGGCACACACAUACAGGUAAUGGGUGGCUCUGCUUGAGAACAUGUUCAAGUUCUGAAGUUGGGGCCUGUGAUGGAUUGACUUUAUUUUCCUAUGUGCACUCAGCUAGCAGAAUUACAAAAAUGUGUUAAAUUUUCAUUUUUGCUUAAAUACACAUGCAGUACUAUUUAAUAUACUAGCUUCUGUCUAAAUGUCUGCUCUCAGAGGCCCCCUUAUAUGUCUCUGUGUUUCCUAACCUUGUAAAGGUGGAUAAUAAUACUUGUCUAUGUCAGAGAGAUGUAAAGGAAGUUAAUUUUGUAUUUCUUUCUUUCUUUUUUUUUUUUUUUCUUUUUAAUAUCCUGAAAUGUAUGAAUAGCAGACAAUGCAGAAAUCAAAUGCAUUACAAUUUUAAACAAUUUAUACAACUGAGAAACUAACUUCUUUUUGAAUUCAGUAUCCUGCUGUGUUGUUUCCCUUCCCAGGUCUACAGGCCAACAAGUGAUAUGCUUAUAGAGAGUUGUAGAUAGCACCCUAGUAAUUAUAUUGUUAUAUGUCUCUUUAAAUAGCCACAAUUAUUUUAGUUUUGAAUAACUUCAGACAAUACAGGGGAAAACACAGAAACGAUGAUGACAGAAAAUUAAUUACCUGAGAAUUUCCUUUUCAGAUGGAUUUCUUUCUCUGAGAUGUUUACAGCGUGCCUUUCUUCUCACAGAUACUCAAAGCACACUUCUACACAGGUUUUUAGUCCUUGACAGUAUAUUUUCUCUGGUUAUUGAAAUCCCGUGGAAACUGUAAAGUAGUUGAACUCUGCUCUUUGCUAUCUGAGUUCAACCAAGUAUGUGGAUGUUUAAGAAGGACCAUUAUAUAUGCAGAAGAAUAAUGUGUCUGAUGAUAAGGAUAUAAGGUGAUCUUCCAUUUUGGAUCCUGGGUUUUCCCUGAGCCAGAAACAUUAACAUUGCAAUCCUCUACAAAAAAAAAUGAUCAUUAAUAGCGAGGAAGAAAAAUGAGUUUGCCCACUGCAUCAAAUCACUGUGAUUGGUUUAUUGUAAUUCAGAUGAAGUGUGUCCUGCCAAAGGACACUGCUGCUGCUGAGGUGAAAUAAGUGCUAUAUAAAAAGUUAUCUCCACUGAAGGAAAACAGUGUUUUUGAUUUCUUUCUGUUGCUGGCUCACUCUGAAUAAAGAUCAUGCGAUUAGUAUAAAGCAAAA